CCUACGGGAGGCAGCAGUAGGGAAUAUUGCUCAAUGGGGGAAACCCUGAAGCAGCAACGCCGCGUGGAGGAUGAAGGUUUUCGGAUUGUAAACUCCUUUUGUUAGAGAAGAUAAUGACGGUAUCUAACGAAUAAGCACCGGCUAACUCCGUGCCAGCAGCCGCGGUAAUACGGAGGGUGCAAGCGUUACUCGGAAUCACUGGGCGUAAAGGGCGCGUAGGCGGGAUAGCAAGUCAGAUGUGAAAUCCUAUGGCUUAACCAUAGAACUGCAUUUGAAACUGUUAUUCUAGAGUAUGGGAGAGGUAGGUGGAAUUCUUUGGGUAGGGGUAAAAUCCGUAGAGAUCAAGAGGAAUACUCAUUGCGAAGGCGACCUGCUAGAACAUAACUGACGCUGAUGCGCGAAAGCGUGGGGAGUAAACAGGAUUAGAUACCCUAGUAGUC
rnacentral:rRNA from 1 species